AGGGGUGUCGUUUACAAGGACUCAGUGGCUAUUCAACCAAAGGAUAUAAAUGGUGAAAAACUCUAUACAAAAAGCAAAAUUUAAAGAAGAAUGGAAACCGGGAAUGGACCAAAGAGACAACAAACCUAUCAAAAAACAGAAAACAGCCCAUGGCCACCAAUGGGUCUUUGAAGCAGCGAGAAAUCACGGGGUUACCUAUUAUGUGGUAGGACAUCCUAGUAGCCAAUCAGACGCUGAAUGAGUACAGAUUGGCAAACUUUGAGAGAGAGAGAGAGAGAGAGAGAGAGAGAGAGAGAG